rnacentral:misc_RNA from 1 species
GAUGAAGAACGUAGUGAAAUGCGAUAAGUAGUGUGAAUUGCAGAAUUCAGUGAAUCAUCGAAUCUUUGAACGCACAUUGCGCCCCAUGGUAUUCCGUGGGGCAUGCCUGUUCGAGCGUCAUUUACCCCCUCAAGCUCCGCUUGGUGUUGGGCGUCUGUCCCGCUUCGCGCGCGGACUCGCCCCAAAGGUAUUGGCAGCGGUCGUGUCAGCUUCUCGCGCAGCACAUUGCGCUUCUCGAGGCACCGGUGGGCCCGCGUCCAUCAAGCUCACCCCCCCAGUUUGACCUCGGAUCAGGUAGGGAUACCCGCUGAACUUAAGCAUAUCAAUAAGCGGAGGA